ACGCUCCACGCAUGCCUGCUGACUGAAGUCAGCGACAUGCCAGGCAACCUUUGGUCUUCGAGGUUGCGCGCAGCCGCCAGGCUGCGUGACCGAGCCAGUUCGCAUCGCAUCCUCGCGCGAACGGCCACUGGACCCCGGUGGCGAUGC
rfam:Acidovorax citrulli AAC00-1, complete genome.